UACGUAGGGUGCGAGCGUUAAUCGGAAUUACUGGGCGUAAAGCGUGCGCAGGCGGCUUUGCAAGACAGAUGUGAAAUCCCCGGGCUCAACCUGGGAACUGCAUUUGUGACUGCAAGGCUGGAGUGCGGCAGAGGGGGAUGGAAUUCCGCGUGUAGCAGUGAAAUGCGUAGAUAUGCGGAGGAACACCGAUGGCGAAGGCAGCUCCCUGGGUCGACACUGACGCUCAGGCACGAAAGCGUGGGGAGCAAACAGG
rnacentral:rRNA from 1 species